UACAGAGGGUGCGAGCGUUAAUCGGAAUUACUGGGCGUAAAGCGUGCGUAGACGGUUAUUUAAGUCGGGUGUGAAAGCCCCGGGCUCAACCUGGGAAUUGCAUUCGAGACUGAAUAGCUAGGGUGCGGAAGAGGGAAGCGGAAUUUCCGGUGUAGCGGUGAAAUGCGUAGAUAUCGGAAGGAACACCAGUGGCGAAAGCGGCUUCCUGGUCCAGCACCGACGUUCAGGCACGAAAGCGUGGGGAGCAAACAGG
rnacentral:rRNA from 1 species